rnacentral:rRNA from 1 species
GAGUAACGCAUAGGAAUUUACCCGAUAGUGGGGGAUAACCUGGGGAAACUCAGGCUAAUACCGCAUACGUCCUACGGGAGAAAGGGGGCCUUGGCUCCCGCUAUCGGAUGAGCCUAUGCCGGAUUAGCUGGUUGGUGAGGUAAUGGCUCACCAAGGCGACGAUCCGUAGCUGGUCUGAGAGGAUGAUCAGCCACAUCGGGACUGAGACACGGCCCGAACUCCUACGGGAGGCAGCAGUGGGGAAUAUUGGACAAUGGGGGCAACCCUGAUCCAGCCAUGCCGCGUGUGUGAAGAAGGCCCUCGGGUUGUAAAGCACUUUCAGCGAGGAAGAACGCCUGGCGGUUAAUACCCGCCAGGAAAGACAUCACUCGCAGAAGAAGCACCGGCUAACUCCGUGCCAGCAGCCGCGGUAAUACGGAGGGUGCAAGCGUUAAUCGGAAUUACUGGGCGUAAAGCGCGCGUAGGUGGCUUGAUAAGCCGGUUGUGAAAGCCCCGGGCUCAACCUGGGAACGGCAUCCGGAACUGUCAGGCUAGAGUGCAGGAGAGGAAGGUAGAAUUCCCGGUGUAGCGGUGAAAUGCGUAGAGAUCGGGAGGAAUACCAGUGGCGAAGGCGGCCUUCUGGACUGACACUGACACUGAGGUGCGAAAGCGUGGGUAGCAAACAGGAUUAGAUACCCUGGUAGUCCACGCCGUAAACGAUGUCGACCAGCCGUUGGGUGCCUCGCGCACUUAGUGGCGAAGUUAACGCGAUAAGUCGACCGCCUGGGGAGUACGGCCGCAAGGUUAAAACUCAAAUGAAUUGACGGGGGCCCGCACAAGCGGUGGAGCAUGUGGUUUAAUUCGAUGCAACGCGAAGAACCUUACCUACUCUUGACAUCCUGCGAACUUGUGAGAGAUCACUGGGUGCCUUCGGGAGCGCAGAGACAGGUGCUGCAUGGCUGUCGUCAGCUCGUGUUGUGAAAUGUUGGGUUAAGUCCCGUAACGAGCGCAACCCUUGUCCUUAUUUGCCAGCACGUAAUGGUGGGAACUCUAAGGAGAC